AGUUCGCGAGCCACGUGGGUCGGGUGUGAGUGUCUCAGUCUUCCGGCUGGUGAUAAACGUUUGUGGUGACUGACAUUUUGAAUGUGAAGAAGAUCGUGAAAGUAUUGUGUCGGUUGUAUGUGAUGUCAAGAUUGCUGGUGGCAAUUGAUCGCACAGCCGAAAAUGGGAGUGUUUUCUUUCUUCCGGAAAACUAGCCCAAUCGCAAUGAAAUACUGAUGAUGAGACUUGAUCUGCCCUGCAAGUGAUAUCUACGUUGCAACGUAUUUAAUCUUGAUCAUAGAGUUAAAACAGCACGUCUGCAGCACAGAGCUGCACUGGGCACGUUCAGCGGAGCUGGCGGCAGGCUUUGGCCGGCGGGGACGUCGUCCCGGGUGGCCGGUGUGCCGGAGCCGUCUCCUCAGGCCGGUCGCGGACCGCCUCUACAUCUACUGGCGGCUGUAAAAUGACGCCCGUCAGCACCGCGGCGCUGCGGCGGGGUCUACCAAGCCCGCGACGUCGACCGGUGCCCGGCA